rnacentral:tRNA from 1 species
CGCCGACGAGACGCUGGAGCGGUUCGCCGCGGCCAUGGGCCGCGACGGCAGCACCGGGGCGGCCGACGGCGUCGAGGCGCUGGUCGACGCC